rnacentral:rRNA from 1 species
GAGUUUGAUCGAGUAUCAGAACGUAUCGCGUGCAGCAGUGCUUAACACAUGCAAGUCGCACGAGAUCGCAUUAUGCUUGCAUAAGCUAGUAAAGUGGCGCACGGGUGAGUAACGCGCGGGUAAUCUACCUUAGAAUCGGGGAUAACAUCGCGAAAGCGAUGCUAAUACCGGAUGAUAUCUAAUGGACGUUCAGACCAUAGGAUCAAAGGUGGCCUCUAUAUAUAAGCUUCCGUUUGAAGAUGAGCCCGCGUACCAUUACCUUGUUGGUAGGGUAAUGGCCUACCAAGGCAACGAUGGUUAGCUGGUCUGAGAGGAUGAUCAGCCACACUGAAACUGACACACGGUCCAGACUCAUACGGGAGGCACCAUUGAGGAAUUUUGCGCAAUGGGGGAAACCCUGACGCAGCAACGCCGCGUGAGUGACGAAGGCCUUCGGGUCGUAAAGCUCUGUCAAGUGGGAAGAACCUAUUGGAUGUUAAUACCAUCCAGUACUGACGGUACCACUGAAGGAAGCACCGGCUAACUCUGUGCCAGCAGCCGCGGUAAUACGGGGGGUGCAAGCGUUAUUCGGAAUUAUUGGGCGUAAAGAGCGCGUAGGCGGUCUAUUAAGUCAGAUGUGAAAGCCCUGGGCUUAACCCUGGAAGUGCAUUUGAAACUAACGGACUUGAGUAUGGGAGAGCGAAGUGGAAUUCGGGGUGUAGAGGCGAAAUUUGUAGAUAUCAGGAGGAACACCGGCGGGGAAGGAGAUUUCCUGGAUCAAUAGAGACGCUGAGGCGCGAAGGCGUGCGGAGCAAACAUGAUUAGAUACAUCGGUAGUC